GACGAACGCUGGCGGCGUGCUUAACACAUGCAAGUCGAACGGAAAGGCCCUGCUUUUGUGGGGUGCUCGAGUGGCGAACGGGUGAGUAACACGUGAGUAACCUGCCCUUGACUUUGGGAUAACUUCAGGAAACUGCGGCUAAUACCGGAUAGGAGCUCCUGCUCCAUGGUGGGCGUUGGAAAAUUUCGGCGGUUGGGGAUGGACUCGCGGCUUAUCAGCUUGUUGGUGGGGUAGUGGCUUACCAAGGCUUUGACGGGUAGCCGGCCUGAGAGGGUGACCGGCCACAUUGGGACUGAGAUACGGCCCAGACUCCUACGGGAGGCAGCAGUGGGGAAUAUUGCACAAUGGGCGGAAGCCUGAUGCAGCGACGCCGCGUGCGGGAUGACGGCCUUCGGGUUGUAAACCGCUUUCGCCUGUGACGAAGCGUGAGUGACGGUAAUGGGUAAAGAAGCACCGGCUAACUACGUG
rnacentral:rRNA from 1 species